rnacentral:rRNA from 1 species
AACAAGGUCUCCGUAGGUGAACCUGCGGAGGGAUCAUUACACAAAUAUGAAGGCGGGCUGGAACCUCUCGGGGUUACAGCCUUGCUGAAUUAUUCACCCUUGUCUUUUGCGUACUUCUUGUUUCCUUGGUGGGUUCGCCCACCACUAGGACAAACAUAAACCUUUUGUAAUUGCAAUCAGCGUCAGUAACAAAUUAAUAAUUACAACUUUCAACAACGGAUCUCUUGGUUCUGGCAUCGAUGAAGAACGCAGCGAAAUGCGAUAAGUAGUGUGAAUUGCAGAAUUCAGUGAAUCAUCGAAUCUUUGAACGCACAUUGCGCCCUUUGGUAUUCCAAAGGGCAUGCCUGUUCGAGCGUCAUUUGUACCCUCAAGCUUUGCUUGGUGUUGGGCGUCUUGUCUCUAGCUUUGCUGGAGACUCGCCUUAAAGUAAUUGGCAGCCGGCCUACUGGUUUCGGAGCGCAGCACAAGUCGCACUCUCUAUCAGCAAAGGUCUAGCAUCCAUUAAGCCUUUUUUUCAACUUUUGACCUCGGAUCAGGUAGGGAUACCCGCUGAACUUAAGCAUA